rnacentral:rRNA from 1 species
UAGAGUUUGAUCCUGGCUCAGGAUGAACGCUGGCGGCGUGCCUAAUACAUGCAAGUCGAGCGAACAGAUAAGGAGCUUGCUCCUUUGAAGUUAGCGGCGGACGGGUGAGUAACACGUGGGUAACCUACCUAUAAGACUGGAAUAACUUCGGGAAACCGGAGCUAAUGCCGGAUAACAUUUGGAACCGCAUGGUUCUAAAGUAAAAGAUGGUUUUGCUAUCACUUAUAGAUGGACCCGCGCCGUAUUAGCUAGUUGGUAAGGUAACGGCUUACCAAGGCAACGAUACGUAGCCGACCUGAGAGGGUGAUCGGCCACACUGGAACUGAGACACGGUCCAGACUCCUACGGGAGGCAGCAGUAGGGAAUCUUCCGCAAUGGACGAAAGUCUGACGGAGCAACGCCGCGUGAGUGAUGAAGGUUUUCGGAUCGUAAAACUCUGUUAUUAGGGAAGAACAAAUGUGUAAGUAACUGUGCACAUCUUGACGGUACCUAAUCAGAAAGCCGCGGC